CCCCCAGCGGAAAAAUGGCCAAAAAACGGGUGGGCUAUAGCCUUGGUGGGGGGCGUGGGCGAAGUUCGUCCGCCGGACUCGGAAUGGCCCCAGACUUUACGGGCGGCCUCCGUGUGCCAAAAAUAGGCCACGGGCACAGCCGCGCCCAAAAAUCAGCCCCCGAAGGUCGGGGUGCCAACACCCCCCAGCGGAAAAAUGGCCAAAAAACGGGUGGGCUAUAGCCUUGGUGGGGGGCGUGGGCGAAGUUCGUCCGCCGGACUCGGAAUGGCCCCAGACUUUGCGGGCGUCGUCCAUGUGCCAAAAAUAGGCCACGGGCACAGCCGCGCCCAAAAAUCAGCCCCCGAAGGUCGGGGUGCCAACACCCCCCAGCGGAAAAAUGGCCAAAAAACGGGUGGGCUAUAGCCUUGGUGGGGGGCGUGGGCGAAGUACGUCCGCCGGACUCGGAAUGGCCCCAGACUUUGCGGGCGGCCUCCGUGUGCCAAAAACAGGCCACGGGCACACCCGCGCCCAAAAAUCAGCCCCCGAAGGUCGGGGCGCCAAGACCCCCUAGCGGAAAAAUGGCAAAAAAAACGGGUGGGCGGGCUAUAGCCUUGGUGGGGGGCGUGGGCGAAGUUCGUCCGCCGGACUCGGAAUGGCCCCAGACUUUGCGGGCGGCCUCCGUGUGCCAAAAACAGGCCACGGGCACACCCGCGCCCAAAAAUCAGCCCCCGAAGUUCGGGGCGCCAAGACCCCGCAGCGGAAAAAUGGCCAAAAAACGGGUGGGCGGACUAUAGCCUUGGUGGGGGGCGUGGGCGAAGUUCGUCCGCCGGACUCGGAAUGGCCCCAGAAUUUGCGGGCGGCCUCCGUGUGCCAAAAAUAGGCCACGGGCACAGCCGCGCCCAAAAAUCAGCCCCCGAAGGUCGGGGCGCCAAGACCCCCCAGCGGAAAAAUGGCCAAAAAACGGGUGGGCUAUAGCCUUGGUGGGGGGCGUGGGCGAAGUUCGUCCGCCGGACUCGGAAUGGCCCCAGACGUUGCGGGCGGCCUCCGUGUGCCAAAAAUAGGCCACGGGCACAGCCGCGCCCAAAAAUCAGCCCCCGAAGGUCGGGGUGCCAACACCCCCCAGCUGAAAAAUGGCCAAAAAACGGGGGGCUAUAGCCUUGGUGGGGGGCGUGGGCGAAGUUCGUCCGCCGGACUUGGAAUGGCCCCAGACGUUGCGGGCGGCCUCCGUGUGCCAAAAAUAGGCCACGGGCACAGCCGCGCCCAAAAAUCAGCCCCCGAAGGUCGGGGUGCCAACACCCCCCAGCGGAAAAAUGGCCAAAAAACGGGUGGGCUAUAGCCUUGGUGGGGGGCGUGGGCGAAGUUCGUCCGCCGGACUCGGAAUGGCCCCAGACGUUGCGGGCGUCGUCCAUGUGCCAAAAAUAGGCCACGGGCACAGCCGCGCCCAAAAAUCAGCCCCCGAAGGUCGGGGUGCCAACACCCCCCAGCGGAAAAAUGGCCAAAAAACGGGUGGGCUAUAGCCUUGGUGGGGGGCGUGGGCGAAGUACGUCCGCCGGACUCGGAAUGGCCCCAGACUUUGCGGGCGGCCUCCGUGUGCCAAAAACAGGCCACGGGCACACCCGCGCCCAAAAAUCAGCCCCCGAAGGUCGGGGCGCCAAGACCCCCUAGCGGAAAAAUGGCAAAAAAAACGGGUGGGCGGGCUAUAGCCUUGGUGGGGGGCGUGGGCGAAGUUCGUCCGCCGGACUCGGAAUGGCCCCAGACUUUGCGGGCGGCCUCCGUGUGCCAAAAACAGGCCACGGGCACACCCGCGCCCAAAAAUCAGCCCCCGAAGUUCGGGGCGCCAAGACCCCGCAGCGGAAAAAUGGCCAAAAAACGGGUGGGCGGACUAUAGCCUUGGUGGGGGGCGUGGGCGAAGUUCGUCCGCCGGACUCGGAAUGGCCCCAGAAUUUGCGGGCGGCCUCCGUGUGCCAAAAAUAGGCCACGGGCACAGCCGCGCCCAAAAAUCAGCCCCCGAAGGUCGGGGUGCCAACACCCCCCAGCGGAAAAAUGGCCAAAAAACGGGUGGGCUAUAGCCUUGGUGGGGGGCGUGGGCGAAGUUCGUCCGCCGGACUCGGAAUGGCCCCAGACUUUGCGGGCGGCCUCCGUGUGCCAAAAAUAGGCCACGGGCACAGCCGCGCCCAAAAAUCAGCCCCCGAAGGUCGGGGUGCCAACACCCCCCAGCGGAAAAAUGGCCAAAAAACGGGUGGGCUAUAGCCUUGGUGGGGGGCGUGGGCGAAGUUCGUCCGCCGGACUCGGAAUGGCCCCAGACUUUGCGGGCGGCCUCCGUGUGCCAAAAAUAGGCCACGGGCACAGCCGCGCCCAAAAAUCAGCCCCCGAAGGUCGGGGUGCCAACACCCCCCAGCGGAAAAAUGGCCAAAAAACGGGUGGGCUAUAGCCUUGGUGGGGGGCGUGGGCGAAGUUCGUCCGCCGGACUCGGAAUGGCCCCAGACUUUGCGGGCGGCCUCCGUGUGCCAAAAAUAGGCCACGGGCACAGCCGCGCCCAAAAAUCAGCCCCCGAAGGUCGGGGUGCCAACACCCCCCAGCGGAAAAAUGGCCAAAAAACGGGUGGGCUAUAGCCUUGUGGGGGGGCGUGGCAGAAGUUCGUCCGCCGGACUCCGAAUGGCCCCAGACUUUGCGGGCGGCCUCCGUGUGCCAAAAACAGGCCAGGGGCACACCCGCGCCCAAAAAUCAGCCCCCGAAGGUCGGGGCGCCAAGACCCCCUAGCGGAAAAAUGGCAAAAAAAACGGGUGGGCGGGCUAUAGCCUUGGUGGGGGGCGUGGGCGAAGUUCGUCCGCCGGACUCGGAAUGGCCCCAGACUUUGCGGGCGGCCUCCGUGUGCCAAAAACAGGCCACGGGCACACCCGCGCCCAAAAAUCAGCCCCCGAAGUUCGGGGCGCCAAGACCCCGCAGCGGAAAAAUGGCCAAAAAACGGGUGGGCGGACUAUAGCCUUGGUGGGGGGCGUGGGCGAAGUUCGUCCGCCGGACUCGGAAUGGCCCCAGAAUUUGCGGGCGGCCUCCGUGUGCCAAAAAUAGGCCACGGGCACAGCCGCGCCCAAAAAUCAGCCCCCGAAGGUCGGGGCGCCAAGACCCCCCAGCGGAAAAAUGGCCAAAAAACGGGUGGGCUAUAGCCUUGGUGGGGGGCGUGGGCGAAGUUCGUCCGCCGGACUCGGAAUGGCCCCAGACGUUGCGGGCGGCCUCCGUGUGCCAAAAAUAGGCCACGGGCACAGCCGCGCCCAAAAAUCAGCCCCCGAAGGUCGGGGUGCCAACACCCCCCAGCUGAAAAAUGGCCAAAAAACGGGGGGCUAUAGCCUUGGUGGGGGGCGUGGGCGAAGUUCGUCCGCCGGACUUGGAAUGGCCCCAGACGUUGCGGGCGGCCUCCGUGUGCCAAAAAUAGGCCACGGGCACAGCCGCGCCCAAAAAUCAGCCCCCGAAGGUCGGGGUGCCAACACCCCCCAGCGGAAAAAUGGCCAAAAAACGGGUGGGCUAUAGCCUUGGUGGGGGGCGUGGGCGAAGUUCGUCCGCCGGACUCGGAAUGGCCCCAGACUUUGCGGGCGGCUUCCGUGUGCCAAAAAUAGGCCACGGGCAGAGCCGCGCCCAAAAAUCAGCCCCCGAAGGUCGGGGUGCCAAGACCCCCCAGCGGAAAAAUGGCCAAAAAACGGGUGGGCUAUAGCCUUGGUGGGGGGCGUGGGCGAAGUUCGUCCGCCGGACUCGGAAUGGCCCCAGACGUUGCGGGCGGCCUC
rnacentral:lncRNA from 1 species